rnacentral:rRNA from 1 species
CAGCCGCCGCGGGAAAACGUAGGGUGCGAGCGUUAAUCGGAAUUACUGGGCGUAAAGCGUGCGUAGGCGGUUCGUUAAGUCUGUUGUGAAAGCCCCGGGCUCAACCUGGGAAUGGCAAUGGAUACUGGCGAGCUAGAGUGUGUCAGAGGAUGGUGGAAUUCCCGGUGUAGCGGUGAAAUGCGUAGAGAUGUGGAGGAACACCAGUGGCGAAGGCGACUCUCUGGUCUGUAACUGACGCUGAGGAGCGAAAGCGUGGGGAGCGAACAGGAUUAGAUACCCCAGUAGUCCCUGUCUCUUAUAC